AUUGAACGCUGGCGGCAGGCCUAACACAUGCAAGUCGAACGGUAACAGGGAUCAGCUUGCUGAUUCGCUAACGAGUGGCGGACGGGUGAGUAAUGUCUGGGAAACUGCCUGAUGGAGGGGGAUAACUACUGGAAACGGUAGCUAAUACCGCAUAACGUCGCCAGACCAAAGAGGGGGACCUUCGGGCCUCUUGCCAUCGGAUGUGCCCAGAUGGGAUUAGCUAGUAGGUGGGGUAACGGCUCACCUAGGCGACGAUCCCUAGCUGGUCUGAGAGGAUGACCAGCCACACUGGAACUGAGACACGGUCCAGACUCCUACGGGAGGCAGCAGUGGGGAAUAUUGCACAAUGGGCGCAAGCCUGAUGCAGCCAUGCCGCGUGUAUGAAGAAGGCCUUCGGGUUGUAAAGUACUUUCAGCGGGGAGGAAGGGAGUAAAGUUAAUACCUUUGCUCAUUGACGUUACCCGCAGAAGAAGCACCGGCUAACUCCGUG
rnacentral:rRNA from 1 species